GAUGAACGCUAGCGACAGGCCUAACACAUGCAAGUCGAGGGGCAUCGGGGUGUAGCAAUACGCUGCCGGCGACCGGCGGACGGGUGAGUAACACGUGGGCAACCUGCCUUGGAGUGGGGGAUAACACCGGGAAAUCGGUGCUAAUACCGCAUAACAUACACAAGCUGCAUGGUAUGUGUAUCAAAGGAGUAAUCCGCUUUUAAGAUGGGCCCGCGGCUGAUUAGCUAGUUGGUAAGGUAACGGCUUACCAAGGCGACGAUCAGUAGCCGACCUGAGAGGGUGACCGGCCACACUGGAACUGAGACACGGUCCAGACUCCUACGGGGGGCAGCAGUGGGGAAUCUUCCACAAUGGGCGAAAGCCUGAUGGAGCGACGCCGCGUGAGCGAAGAAGGCCUUCGGGUUGUAAAGCUCUGUCUGGAGGGACGAAGGAAGUGACGGUACCGUCCGGAGGAAGCCACGGCUAACUACGUG
rnacentral:rRNA from 1 species